UGCCUGGCGGCCUUAGCGCGGUGGUCCCACCUGACCCCAUGCCGAACUCAGAAGUGAAACGCCGUAGCGCCGAUGGUAGUGUGGGGGCUCCCCAUGCGAGAGUAGGGAACUGCCAGGCAU
rnacentral:rRNA from 2 species